UAGGUCGCUGGUUCGAAUCCGGCAGGUCGGAGUCUCUUCCUUUUUUCUCCAAUCCCUCUUGCCCUCCUCUUUUUUUUCAUUUUUUUUUUUUUGUUUUCCCAGUUGGUUGAUCAGACUCCACCACCCAGUUCAUUUCCCCACAAAUCCAAAAUCGCCAUGGCUCGCCGACUCCUCGCCACCACCCACCUCCUAAACCCUAAUCCUAACCCUAAACCCUACUUCUUCCAAUUCUCCACCUCCUUCCUCAUCACCAAAACCCCCAAAAAUCUCCGAAAGAAGCGCAAGAACAAGGACAACAGCCCCAGAAGCAAGCUCAUUACCCACCAAUCCAGCCGCCUCUCCCACUUGGAGUCCAUCGUCGACCGCGACUCCACCUUCCGAUUCCUCACCAAAACCAAAGACUACCUCUCCAAGCAACCCCACCACGUCCUCCGCCUCGACGACGCCGGCAAGCUCCACCGCGAGCUAGGGUUUCCCCGCGGCCGCAAGGUCCUCCGCUCCAUCCUCCGCCACCCCCUCCUCUUCCAAACCUACCGCCACCACGACUCCAAGAUGUGGUUCGGGUUCACUGACUUCAUGGAGUCCCUGAUCGAACAAGAGACAGAUAUUAUGGAUUCGAUGGAGGAACGUAGAGUCACCACUGUUCGAAAACUGCUAAUGAUGUCCGCCAAGAAGCGAAUUGCUUUGAGCAAAUUGUAUCAUUGCAGGUUGUUGUUUGGGAUUCCUGAAGAUUUCAGAGAUAGGGUUUUGAAUUACCCUAAUUACUUCAGAGUUGUGGUUGAAGAUGAUGGAAAGAGAAUGCUUCAGCUUGUCAAUUGGGAUCCUUUGUUGGCAGUGAGUGACUUGGAGAGGGAAUUCAUGGUGGAUGAGGAUCGAGUGAAGAAAGCUUUCAAAUUUCCGGUGAAGCACGGGAAGGAAUUGGAUUUGGACCAGGACGAUUCGAGGAAGUUGAAUUUGCUGAACACCCUUCCGUUGGUUUCGCCUUAUUCGGAUGGGUCCAAGUUGGAUCUCUGGACAUUGGAGGCAGAGAAGUACAGGAUUGGGUUGUUGCACGAGUUCUUGAGCUUGACUUUGGAGAAGAGGGCUUCUAUACACCACAUUGUGGAGUUCAAGGAAGAGUUCAGUCUUACCAAGCAUACUUAUCAAAUGCUUUUGAAGCAGCCGAGGACUUUUUACUUGGCUGGUACAGAGAUGAAUUGGGUUGUGUUUUUGAAGGAUGCUUAUAGUGAAGAUGGUGUCUUGAUCAAUAAGGAUCCACAGGUGGUUUUCAAUGAGAAGUUGUAUAGAUUUGCACAGAUGCAAGAGAUGGAACCGGGUUCUGAUUGCAACUGAUCAAUUUCUAAUGGGUGCACCGCAAUGUCUUGUUGCUUUUGCCAAUUGAGCAAAGGUUUUCAAUGGGUGUGCAAUCUCGUAUGUGUUCUUGCAAAUCGAGCAAAGCUCUAUGGGCAAAACUGUGAUUAAAAGUUUUAUUGUGCACUCACGAGGUUGAAAGUCUAUGUUGAUCUCAUCUUGUUCAUGGUGGAUACUAGUACAUUCUCAAGACAAGCAGCAAGUCUAAAUCUUACUGAUUAGAAUAUUGCAAGAAAUGGGUUCAAUCCUGAAUUGUAUGUCUAGAAGUUUUUCUCUAUAUUUAUUGGGCUGCAAAUUAAGCUGGAGAAGGGAAAGAUGCUGUUUCACAAUAAUCAGCAGCACUAAUCACACAGAGGUAAAGAAUAUGGUUAACUUCUGAUCUACACAUAAUGCAAAUACUACUAAAAAUGUUUUUGCAACACUUUAGGAUACACACCCCUUGAUGCCUCAAUAGCCAUCCCACUUUAGUUCAGUGGACUUCAACCCCUGACCUCAUUUCUGAUACACUUUAAGAAGCUCACCUGACACCACUAAGCAUCAACACUUGGUUGUUUUAGGGUUUUGUUUUAUUCACAUCAUCUUUUCUGGGAGUGAACAAUUGAUAAAGAUGUAUAGCAUAUCACAGUAAGUAUUUGUCUCCUGGUUUACUGGACACUCUUUUCCCUACCACGUGAUAUAAGCCACGAUAGAUUAGGAAGCUAAAACUUAAAAGAGAUGAGGAAAACAUUGUCCUGGUGUGGUUCAGAUUUUGCAAAUUUCCUCCAAGAUAAGUAUUGGCAGCUGCAGGCAGUCUCUCCAGAUCAGAACAAGACCCUUGCAGCACCUAUCCUUUUCCAUCAUUCUAUCUUCAAUAAUUAUACAGACACAUAAUCAAUAAUAGAACCAACC